GGUUUGCUCUUGCUCCCUCAACGUCUUCAUGAAAAUGCAAGAACUGAAGAAGACAAUCGCCUCCAUCUCCGACAAGACGACGAUAACGUUCUCAAAACUCUGAACUCAACUCACUGACACUGUCCAUUAAAUCAAAACCCCACAUUUUUGUAAUGAUCCAUGCUCUGCCCAAGUGCUCCACAACAAACCUUCUCAAACACUCUCUUCCAGCAACACUCCAUCCCUAUUUCUCCCUAAACCUAACAUUCCCCUUUCAUUCUUCCUCUCCCCAUGGCCCUCAGCCUCACCCUUCGGCUGAAAUCUUCAAAUCAGGUACCAAAAUGGGUUCUUACAAAUUGGGUGAUUUGUCUUUCUAUUCCCUCAUUCAGAACCACGCCUCUAGCCUCGAUUUUGGGUCCCUGGAAGAGGUCCUUGAUCAAAUGAAGCGCGAAAGAAGGGCUUUUAUGGAGAAGAAUUUCAUUGUUAUGUUCAAAGCUUAUGGGAAGGCCCAUUUGCCUGAGAAAGCUGUGGACUUGUUCUUCAGAAUGGGGGGUGAGUUUCAGUGUAGACAAACUGUGAAAUCAUUCAAUUCGGUUCUCAAUGUGGUUAUUCAAGAGGGUCUUUUCAAUCGUGCCUUGGAGUUUUACUCACAUGUUGUUGCAUCCAAGAGUUUUAACAUACACUCAAAUGCACUCACUUUUAACUUGGUCAUUAAGGCCAUGUGUAGGCUUGGUUUGGUUGAUCGAGCAAUUGAGGUUUUUAGAGAGAUUCCACUACGGAAUUGUGCUCCCGAUGCAUACACGUAUUCGACCUUGAUGCAUGGGUUGUGUCAGGAGGGUAGAAUCGACGAGGCGGUUUCGCUGUUGGAUGAAAUGCAAGUUGAGGGCACCUUCCCUAACCCCGUGGCGUUUAAUGUGUUGAUCAGUGCAUUGUGCAAGAAUGGUGACUUGGCACGUGCGGCUAAGCUUGUUGAUAAUAUGUUUCUCAAGGGUUGUGUCCCGAAUGAAGUGACCUAUAAUGCACUUGUUCAUGGCUUGUGCCUCAAGGGAAAGUUGGAGAAGGCGGUGAGUAUGUUGAAUAAGAUGGUGAUGAGUAAGUGUGUGCCUAAUGAUGUUACUUUUGGAACACUUAUUAAUGGGUUUGUUAAACAGGGUAGAGCCUCUGAUGGGGCUCGAGUUUUGGUCUCCUUGGAAGAGAGAGGCCGUCGUGGGAACGAGUAUGUGUACUCGUCCCUUAUCAGCGGCCUGUGCAAGGAGGGAAAAUUCAAUCAUGCAAUGCAGUUGUGGAAGGAAAUGGUUGGAAAGGGAUGUGAACCAAAUACUGUUGUUUAUAGUGCUCUUAUUGAUGGGCUUUGCCGAGAAGGGAAGUUAGAUGAAGCAAGGGAGGUCUUAUCUGAAAUGAAGAGUAAAGGUUACUUGCCCAAUUCCUUCACUUACAGUUCCCUAAUGAGGGGUUAUUUUGAAGCAGGCAUUAGCCAUAAAGCUAUUCUUGUUUGGAAAGAGAUGGCAACCGAUAAUUGUAAUCAUAAUGAGGUUUGUUACAGUAUACUAAUUAAUGGCUUGUGCAAGGAUGGGAAGAUUAUGGAGGCUUUAAUGGUGUGGAAGCAAAUGCUGAGUAGGGGAAUUAAAUUAGAUGUUGUGGCUUACAGUUCAAUGAUUCAUGGCUUAUGUAAUGCUAACUUAAUGGAACAGGGCGUGAAACUUUUCAAUCAGAUGCUUUGUCAGGGGCCGGAGGUACAGCCGGAUGUGAUAACGUAUAACAUAAUUUUAAAUUCUUUUUGCAUGCAUAAUAACAUCUCUCGAGCCAUUGAUAUUCUAAAUAUUAUGCUAGAUCAAGGUUGUGAUCCUGAUUUUAUUACGUGCGACAUAUUCUUGAAAACUUUAAGAGAAAAUGUGAAUCCACCUCAAGAUGGUAGGGAGUUUCUAGAUGAGCUUGUAGUAAGGCUAGUUAAGAAACAGAGAACAAUAGGUGCUUUCAGAAUUAUCGAAGUGAUGCUGCAUAAAUUUUUGCUGCCUAAAGCUUCUACGUGGGCAAUGAUUGUUCAACAGCUCUGCAAACCUAAAAAUGGUCGAAAAGUCAUCAGUGAAUGUUGGAGCAAGCUAAGUUGCUAAAAUCUGGUAAGGUAUGUUGUUCAAUUACAAUUUUCCUUGGAUCUUAGGAAAUUUGGAUACAGGGAGCUUGAUUGAGGUCCUCAAGCCAAACGCCUUGAACUUUCAUAAAGCCAGAUGGUGUUAUACACUUCAAAUACCGACUUUUCUGCUAUCCUAUAUUCAUUUGGCCUGUGUGGAGAUGUUGGUGUGAACCAAACAGGUGACAAGUGAUUAUAAUAUCACUUAACCACUUCAGAUGUUUAAAAUAUUAAUAUUUUAAAACUUACAAUGGGGAUCAUUGUCCUGAAGCUUAAAAUGUUCCACUAUCCAAUUGGCUAUGAUCUAUUUGUUAAUGCACCAUAUUUUGACUGAUGUAUUUCUACAGGGCUCUGUUGAAGUCAUUGGCUGUGUAAGCACGUCACAACAUCUUAAAAUGCUAUCAGUAAAUUUAGUCACCAAACAAUUGUGUUGAAUAUGCAACUAUAUUGCAGAUUGCAUUUGUAGAAGGCAAAUGAAAGUCAAUGAUACGAUUAAUUGUUGAACUAAUUAGCUGCUGGAUGCCAACACACAAAAGUGCAAUUUUCUUUUGUGGGCAUGUGCAGAAUGCAGAGUUCGUAUUUUGUUAUCUUACGUGCAAAGGAACAGAAUGAAAGACUCAUGUUUUAGUAAUGGUUGUCUAUAGGACCCAGAAUUAUCUUUCUAUGUUUGCGUGAGGGAAAUCUAAUUCAAAAUGCUCAAAACAAAUGCGCAAUGUCUAUGGCCCUUCAUUCUUGAUGGUUUCUCUGUGAUCAACUUUUGAUUGCAGCUUUUCUUGUUGGUGAGCCAUAUCAUAAGUUG